rnacentral:rRNA from 1 species
CGAACGCUGGCGGCGUGCUUAACACAUGCAAGUCAACGAGAAAGCUUCCUUCGGGAAGUAAGUAAAGUGGCGAACGGGUGAGUAACACGUGGGUAACCUGCCCUUAGGUCUGGGAUAACAUUCCGAAAGGGAUGCUAAUACCGGAUGAUACCUUAGAUGCUCCGGCAUUCUAGGUCAAAGCUUCGGCGCCUUUGGAUGGGCCCGCGCUCCAUUAGGUUGUUGGUGAGGUAACGGCUCACCAAGCCUGAGAUGGAUAGCUGGUCUGAGAGGAUGAUCAGCCACACUGGAACUGAGACACGGUCCAGACUCCUACGGGAGGCAGCAGUGGGGAAUAUUGCGCAAUGGGCGAAAGCCUGACGCAGCAACGCCGCGUGGGUGAUGAAGGCUUGCGGGUCGUAAAACCCUGUCAGAGGGGAAGAAAUGCCCUUUUUAGGGAGCUGACGGUACCCUCAGAGGAAGCACCGGCUAACUCC